rnacentral:guide_RNA from 1 species
AAACAACUAUAAUAGAACGAGUAAGAUGUGCGUAUAUGGACAAU